rnacentral:ncRNA from 4 species
AUCCUGCGGCGCAGGCAGCGGGGACGUUUGCGUCUCCACUUCCCAGCACAGCCGCGGUCUUCGAGGCUGUGGCGCGGGCCACCGCGUCGAUCGCUCCCGUCCGCACCGCAUCCGACACCGCGGACGCCCAGCGCCCAGGCGCUGGAGGAUGC